AUCCAUGUGCAAACUCACCUGGGAGUGGUAAGAAAUGCGGAUUCUCAGGACUUCUGCCUAUGAACCUGCAAAAUAAAAAACAAGUUAGUUACUUUCAAGAUACAUUGGGGGUGCAGACAUUGGGUAAAUGCUCACAUUCUGAAAACGAGAAAUUGGCCAAAACAAAGGAGCUCCAAGCCCAUGAAAGUCUAAAAUCCAACAGGGCAGUCAUUAAGCCUUAAAGCUCCAAAAUCAUCUCCUUUGACUACAAGUCUCACAUCCAGGCCACAGUGAUGCAAGGGGUGGGCUCCUAAGGUCUUUGGAAGCUAUGCUCCUGUGGCUCUGCAGAGUAAAGCUCCUGCUUUCACAGGCUGGCAUUGAGUGCCUGCAGCUUUUCCAAGCACAUAGUGCAAGCUGUUGGUGGAUCUAUCAUUCCGGGGUCUGGAGGAUGGUGACCCUCUUCUCACAGCUCCACUAAGCAGUGCCCCAGUGGGGACUUUGUAUGGGGGCUCCAACCCCACAUUUCCCCUCACAUUGCACUAGUAGAGGUUCUCUAUGAUGGUUUCGUCCCUGCUGCAGACUUCUGCCUGAACAUCCAGGCCU
rnacentral:lncRNA from 1 species